rnacentral:rRNA from 1 species
CCCUGCUCAAUGACAUAUUAAAUAGCCGCAGUACUUUGACUGUGCAAAGGUAGCAUAAUCAUUUGGCUUAUAAUUGAAGUCUGGAAUGAAUGGGAGUAUGGGUAGUUACUGUCUUACCAUAAAUAAUUGAAUUUACUAAUUAAGUGAAAAUUCUUAUAGUAAUAUAAUAGACGAGAAGACCCUAGAAAUUUUAUAUAUUUAUGUGGUUACAUAGACUAUUUUGUUGGGGCGACAGAGCAACAUUUAACUUGUUUAUUAUUAUUUGACCUUAUUGAAAAGUGUAACUAAAUUACUCUAGGGAUAACAGCAUAAUACAAAAGAGUUUGUGACCUCGAUGUUGGACUAGGAAUAUUAUUGUUUAGAAGAUAAUAAUAAUAGCUCUGUUCGAGCUAAAAUUCCU